AGGACCACGGACCUUUCAACUGGGCCUGCAAGGGUCCACAGGUGACCACGUGAAGGUGGGAAGGCAUGCAGCCAGUUACGCCUGCGCGGAAGGACCUUACGCACCUUUUCCCACUCAGCUUUCCCCGCCCUCCGCGUGCGCCCACGCCCCCGACGUGGCCCAUCCGACGCAUGGUUCUGAUCCUUUAAAUCCCCGCCCCCCUGCCUAGAGGUGGACUUGGGUUUCGUCAUCGUUCUGUUGUCUGGCUUCCCAGUGAGAAAACCCUUCUCGUUUCAAACUUCGGCAUUUCUGCUUCCUGUGUGUCUGCAAAACAGACUUGGUUUGUAGGUACCAGGUUCAGGAGAAAAAGCAACAGAGUAGUGGCCUUGACCCAAGGAAGAACCGGGCUCCAGGGGGACUCAGUAACAGGUCACCUUGUGACAGACUGGCCCAUAGCUGGCUGUUCACGUGAUUGCAGUGUUCUCCACGAGUCUCUAAGCCACAGCUGUGCUACCUUGUCCAGUUACCAGUCUUGAGCCUCUGGCCGCCUGGACAGCUGGCACAAAGGUGGUAUGUUUCUUGGGAUUCAAGUUACCUUGAAACCGGAAGCAACUCGAGAGCAGAGCUUGACUCAGGAAGCCCAUGUUGAGUCUGUGCUCCUUACCGCUCCUGACGACCAGUAAGAUGGAGGCGGGAAGGGCCUGGGGACUCCCUCACCCCUCGCCCUCCAGAUCGAGGAAGGGCCGCGAAAGAUGGGGGACUGAACCCUGAACCAGCGAGCUAAAUUAGCUCCCCCUGCCAUCACUGGAAAAGGUCAGGAAGAUCCUCCGUGUGCACAGAGCUUAAAUAAGACAUUCCCUGAAUUGUUUUCCAGGAACUUGGAGUCCCAGCCGCAUCUGGUUUAGGCUGAGUCAGUUGAGACAGGAUAGGACCACCGACCCCUCACCUGGGCCUUGGAGUGGCCUCUGGUUACCGGGAACCUGGGGGUCCUGCGCAGAAGGGUGGUCCCCGCCCCUCGCCGAUCAUGUGAGCCUGGUGGUCCACUUCCCCGCCUGUGGGGCCCAGCCCCACUUCUCAUGGGCGGAUUGGGAUCUUUGCCUUCCAGGCUCCUUGCUUGGCUGCCUUGCAAGUAAGCUCCUGUGCUGCAGACUUUGGUGUCUCGGUGUUUUGGCUGCUGUGUGCUGGGCUUCAGUGAGGGGUCACUCACCUGUCACCCUAGGAGGGCAUCCGGACGCUGCAGCCUCAGGAAGCCACUGACAGGAAACCUGGUCCAGCCCAUCUCAGCACCCCGAGAUGCUGCACCUUCCCAGUCAGUCCUGAACAGUCUCUUUCAGAUGUUUCAACCCCAAGGCCACCCUGGCAUGCACCACCUUCCUCCAGGGUUGAGGAGGAAGGUGGAGAGGCCCAUGGCCCAGGAUUGUAUGGGUGUUGGUGCCCAGGACAUUGUUGGGGUGGGGGUGUGGUGGGGGAUGCGUGUGCAGUAAACUGGCCCAGCCACGUAUAAAGGGAGAGAAGCAGCCAGUGCAGUCCCCACACCGACUUCAUGAGGCUCCUGGGGCAGUGGAGGGACGAUGUCCCCAGGCCUGGGUGCGGGGGCAGAGGCAUGGCACUGACCUGGGUGGUUCACCCCCAUCCUCCCCAGGGGGCCACAGGGCUGUCCCCCUGCCCCUCUGGAAGACAGUCAGGCAAGUGUAGGCGUCAGCGACACUGCUCAGAGCCCUGUUUCCCAGACCUCAGGCUGGAGGUGUUGAAGGGCAAGAGCCAAGGUGUGGGAAACAGCAGCAUGUGAAGGGCAGUCCGGUGCUGUAGCAUGGGGAGGGGGCCUUGGUGUGUCGGCGCUCAUGCUGGGUCAUCACAGUGGGUAGAUGCUGCUCACGCAGGCGGUCUUCUGCACUGUGCAGAUGCUGUAUUUCUUUGUUGACAUAUAGUUGACCUACAAUGGGAACUUCUGCUGUACAGGAAACUGACUCAGUUAUACAUACUGGCGUUUUUCAUAUUUUCCACAAUGGUUUAUCACAGGAUAUUGACCACACUUCCCUGUGCUACACAGGACCUUGCUUCUCCAUCCUGCAUACUGGUUUGCAUCUGCUAAUCCCAACUCUCAGUCCUUCCUCUGUGAUACCACGUUCCCUACACAUCGAAAGUUCUUGGCAACGCUGCUUGAAACAAGUCUGGUGCCUGUUUUCCAACAGCCUUUGCUCAUGAUGUUUUAGUCAUUCUUAGAGUAUUCAACUCAUUAAUGCGGUCAGUGCUCUUACUAAGACUUAGGAAAGUGCACUUGAACGCUGAAGCAUUAAGCCAGGACACUGAGAAGACACAGCCUGUGAGCCAGGAAGAGUCCUCCCCAGUUGCUGAAUCUGCCAUGAGCACCUGGAUCCUGGAGGUACAGCCUGUGGUGUGGUACAACAGCUGUACCCUAUAAUAGCAGAGGUGCCCUAGUACAGCAACUCAGAGACACCCCCACCUCUGCUGUUUGUGCGCUCCGUGACUUCCCGUCAUUGACACCACCCUGCUCCUGGCUGCCAAACUCCGCAGGAGAAGUCCUCAUAUUGAGGUAGGAGCCCCCAGGUGAGCAGCUGCAGCUGGUCUCUCUGCUGACCCAGGCGGGAUACAGUUGGGAGGGAGCACCAUGUGGAUUUCCUUCAUGAGACACCCACAGAAGACCCUCAGUCUAGGGGAAGGACGAAAGGAAGGUAGAAGACACCAAUGGGAAUCCUGCUCAGGGGAGAGAUGACACGUGUCCCAAGCCCUGUCCCCAUCCCAGUAUAAAUGAUGUGUGCUUCCCCCCUCCCCCACCGGGGCUCUGCAGCUAGAGACGCUUACCUUCUCUCCUUUGCUCUGUGCCUUGCGUUCUCUUCUCAUACUCGUAGGUCAUGGUCUUGGUCCACCCACUGUGACAGCUCCUGUCUUUGGAGGUGCCUAGGGGUCUCCCAAGCUGCGCAGUCAUAACGCUGUGGGUGACGGUGGACACCUUCUUCUAGUAUCUGUCGGAAACAGGUUUUCCAGCCCUGAAGGAGCCUGCUGAGUCUUUUUCUCCUGUCCUGUUCGGGCUCCUCUCCUGCAGCUUUCUCUCCUUAUCUGGCGCAGUGAGAUGUCUUUCUGUGUUGCUAAUUCGGUGCUGUUUACCUGGGGUAGAGUUCACAGGUCCCCUGAGGUCUUAUGAGAACUUCUAAGGAAAUGGGGCGAAUGACCGUGGAGUCCUGUUGUCUGUCCCCUGUCCUCCUCUGUCCACAGGUUCCUCCUGGGGAGACCGGCAGCUUUUCAUCUCUAGGACCCCUUUUGCUUCAUGCCCUGGCAGCUUCUUCUCUCCUGUGAACAGCCUUCUGGGCUGGUCGACCCCAUGCAGCUCACAUCUUGAGUCUCCUGAUGCCCAGUCCUGGGGCUAUGCCCCAGUAUAGGAGAGAUAGCCUUUCAACAGGGGAUGACUCCCAUCUAACUUGGAAGAAACACCCUUGUAUCCUUGACUUAGAAGCUUUUAAAAUUAGAUGGGAUAGGAAAAGAAGCUUACCUUGAUCAACAUGCCCCAGAUAUUAGGUGAAAACUCAAAAGUUUCAGUCAGGCCCACAAACUCCUAGAGGUGACCUUUGGGGUAUUUAAUAAUGGAGGUCAAACCAAGGAGGAGGAGAACCAGUGUAGAAGGCAGGCCAAGGCUCAGGCUAAACAGAUGCCCUGUAACCUCAGGGCCACCCAAAGGAAAGGAGCCAGGAAGUUUCAACCACCCGUCCGGAGGUAACGCCAACAAGUGGGAAGCUUCCAGUGCAAUUCAGCUGUCCUUUGGGCUCAUAAAUGUGGAGGCCUCCCCCAGUCUGCGGACAGGUGGGGCUAUUAGGACCACCCUCAGUCCCAAAAAGUGGGAAAGGGGCUCUGUGAGGCCACUCUGGAUGACUCGGGUGGCCGGGGGUGGGGUGUUAUCAGCCAUGCUAGAUGAUUCAGGCAGCUGGGGAGGCUCUAGGGUUCCCCCGUGAGGUAUCUUCAUCAAGGAGCCCUGGGUGUGGUCCUUGAGGUGGCAGGUAAGAGGAUGGCUUUUGUUUUUUGUUUUAAAAUUUUUUUAUUUUCUACUGGAGUAUAGUUCAUUUACAAUGUUGGUAGUUUCAGGUAUACAUACAGCAAAGUGAUUCAGUUAUACAUAAUACAUCUAUUCUUUUUUAGAUUUUUUUUCCCCCAUAUGGGGGCUUUUGUUUUUAAUGGAUACAGGAGCCGCCUUUUCUAUGCUGGUAUUUCACGCUGGCUUCUUUUCACUAAAAGCUGUACAGUAACUGGUGUUGACAGCAAGCUGUGCACCUGUUGACCUUGAGCCACUUUGAACAGUGUCUGAUCUUAUGCCUUCCUGGUUGUUCCCUAGUGUCCCACCCCACUACUGGGACCUUCCAGGCUCGCUUGGAGCCAUGUUACCGUUAGGGGCCUCAGGCAGCCCCUUGUCUCCACCCUAAGAUUAAUAAAAGCAGUGGUCUGUUCCCAGCCUGAGUUUCAAUCCUCGCCUCUGUAAUGUGUUCAUUACGUUUUGUCUAGGUUUACCGCUGUAAACAGGGUGACAGUGAUGCAGGCACCCAGCUCCUUCUUAAAACCACCCUGCUAGAGGAGCGGAGGUCUGCCUGGGGUCCCUCAACAAGUCGUGGUCUUCUGCUGGAUUCUGCCUUCAAAGAAGAUAAGACCAGGUCCUUCUCCAGCAUUUCUCCUCUGGCAUCAGUAGCGCCAGAGUCUGAAACACUGGCUUUGAAUGGCCAGGGCAGGAGGUUAGAAGGUAGAGCUAGCGAGACCUGCAGACCGAGUGGACCAGCCAUGGAUGAGGAUGAUCCCAGGAGUUCUGACUUGACAGGAGGUCCUGAUGGACCUUUACAGGACGUGCACAGGAGCUGGCCACUCGGUGAUCAGAGCACUCACAGUGGUCUCAGGCUGCAGAAGGUAGAGACAUGCAAGAGGGCUGAAGUGACUGCAGGCUUGAACCUAAAGGAGGUUAGGAGUACUAACCUAGCAACAUGGUGGUUACCAGCAAAUGGUGUAUUGCAGCCGCCAAGUAGGCACAGCAGCCAAGGCCUGUCCCGCCUUGGCUCACAGCUGUGCUGAGUCAAACCACAGAGACUAUCACCAUCUCUGCUCCCCAUCCUGGAAGCCUUACUGAAUGUGUCACACAUGAUUCAGCUGUUCAGCUCCCUGGGGUGGUUUGGAUCUCGCCACCUCCCUCUCCACAGGGGACAGGAGGGAGGAAGACUGAACUCCAGCAAAGGGCUGUGACAGGCCCACAGAGGAAGCCCACCUAUCCUUCCGUUUGAAGCCUGGUGUCCCAUUUUGUGAUAUUUUCCCAAGGUUGCUCAUUGGAAUCUGGGCCACUGCCUGGGACUGGUCUAUGAGAGAACCACUGGCCUCAAACUCACCUUAGAGCAAUGUCCAGCAGGAAGGAAAUGCCCUGCCAGGGCGAGGAGGCAUCAGAAGCAGAUGGCUGUCCCAAGGCUGGACCUGACUGAAUGGAUGGAAGAGGUACUUCAGGAUCCUCUGGGGGUCAAGGCCACUGUGUGCUGUGUGCUGACAGUCUCAGGAACUAGAGAUUGUCAGAAUGUUUGUAUCUCAGAGACCCAGGGAGAGAAAAGCAAGCUCCUCUUAGAAAGUGAGAAUAAAAUACUGCUUGUGACAAAGGAUGUCACAGUCCCCGUGACGGCAGCCACCUCCAAGGGUGAGCCAGUGAGCCCUCAGGGCACUCAGGAAGGAAACAGAGAACACUGCCAUCUAGCAGCCAUCAGGCUGCAGCCACUCCUGAAGUUGACAGUUAUGGCGAUCACCAAGGGACCAGAACAGACCUCUCUCCUUUGCCGGAACUCUACGAGGCUCCAGAGCCCUGAUACUAACAGAGGCCCCUUGUGCUCAUCUGUCUGGAUGAAUUGGGGGCCGUACUCAUGGCAUGUGGAGGUUCCCAGGUCUGGUGCUGCCCUGAAGACUGACCUGGAAGAUCUGGGAGAGGCCAACAGGAGGGAGGAGACCACCAACCUCCUAGCAUCCUUGGUGCUGGAAUCCAUCUUGCUUGAGAGGUGCCUGUGCCACCAGGAAGGACCCUGAACCAGAGCAAGUCCAGGCUGAGUGAGAUGACUAGCCAGAGACACCCUGGAAACUCACCCCAUUCCCAUAAGAUGUGAGCCUCAUGUGUGUCUCUUCAGACAACUCAUUUCCAAGGAUUAGACAAGAGCCCACGCUCAGGCCCUGGAAGGGGUUCCACUUCCUGCAACAACUGGCAACUCUGGUGGGACAUCCCUUCUUUGCCAUGACUGACAUCUGGGUACUCAGGAACGAGCAGACCCAGCGGCUGCCACCAAGCCCUUUUGUCCCUGGUCUCCUGACUCUGACGACUGGCCAGUGUGCCCUCACCAGAUAUUGUACUUUAAGGCUGUUGCAAAAUGGCUUCAUCUUCAGGGAGAUUCACAGGAAGAUUAUGGAAACUGUCACAACAGUUGCACAUCAAGAUGCUGGUGUACGAGGAUUCUAGCCCAUACUGACCUAAAACAAGGGCUGGGCCUAUAGACGAGGUAUCCAGAGGCUUUUACUCCCUGAUAGGCAGGGUCAGUGCCCCUGCUCAGCCUUGAAGCAGUUACAGAAGAUGGAUCGUCACCCCUCUGCUUCCCAUAAGAAUAAAGGAGUGAAAUCUAUGAGGGGGGAAUGAAAUGGGCAGGGCGCAAACUUUAAAAAGAAUGACGUAGACUUUGAGGAUAUGACAGAGACUGUUAGAACCAACUGGGUCCAAGAUGGUGGGUGAUUUGCCUUCUAGUAGACCUCGAGUUUCUAUAUGCUCACUGCAGUGCAUUAGCAGGCUAAAUGGCGCACCACAAGAGCACUGAGGAUGAAUGUUAACAUUAAUUUUUAGAAUGUCUGUUAAGUGGAUAGGUAAUGUAAGAUGGGUAUGUCCUGGUAUUGUUACAUUUUAUCUUAAAAUGUAUGUCAUAGCAACUUAGUUAAGCUGCUUUGUCAAAAGCAUUGUAAUCAAGGAAGCAGGAUCAAGAUGGCGGAGGCGUAAGAUCACACAGAACGUGUAAUGAACACUGGCAGAAGACCUCAGACCUCCAAAAAGGACAAGAAACUGUCCAUGUAACUGGGUAGGGAAAAAAAAGGAUUCAGGAUGGGACCAGCACUCCUGAGAGGUAGCUGUGAAAAGGGGAAAGGAACCCACACCCUGGGAAGCCACCUAACUGACGGGGCGAUCAGCUGGACGGAGGGGGAACCUCAACGUCUCAGAAAAGCACAGCAGCUG